GGUAGCUCAGUGGUAGAGUGCUUGCCUAGCAUGCAUGAAGCCCUGGGUUUGAUUCCUCAGUACCA
rnacentral:tRNA from 1 species